rnacentral:ncRNA from 2 species
GGAUGGCACUCUGGAGACAUCUGCUACCACGCAGGGGCCGAAGGGGCAAGCGCUUAGGCGCGAAACUCUCAGGCAAAAGGACAGAGGCGAUUUU